CGCUGCUGAACGCCUGUCCAUCUGUCUUUGGGUGGUUGUCCUGCUAGAAGGUGAACCUCCACCCAGUCGUACGUCUUCUGCAGCCCAUCCAGGAUUGUGCUGGAUUUAGCUCCAACUCUGACCAGCUUCCACCACCAAGUUUCAUCAUAGGGUUGGACAGAUUGGGAAGCCGUGAUGGCGGCACAGAAGUUGAGGGAGAAGCUAUUUAUCCCAGACGGAUCAGGAGGUGUGUGACGGAGGUGUGGACGGUUGCUGCAGGUCAGUGACGUUGGCAGGCGCCAGGCAGGCCGGCCCACAUGGCUCGGGGACUGUGGGACUACAGACAGAUGGCACCUGGUGGGUGACAAACAAUUAACAAACCAACAAGAAUAGCUGGAUCGGCACUAUACCCACAAGCGCAGGAGAUAGCAAGAGAGCGGGUGCAUCUGUGCUCUGAACACUUCUACUCUUUACUUUUCCUCUCCCCAAGACUUGUUUUGUAUAACAGUUGCAAUUUAACCAUGUGUCUUUCUCACAAAAACACUCGUGUCGUUGUGUUGCUGUAGAACGGUCUAAAUAAAGCAGUGCUGAGCAUAUGCAA